rnacentral:lncRNA from 1 species
AUAACCAAUCAGGUUCGGUUGUGUUCUUAUCUAAGUGAUUCAACCAGGAUGGUGUUAAGGGUGUACAUGGUUGAAAAGACGAGAGAGAAUGAGAACCAGAACGUAGAAGAAGAAGAAGAAAAAGAAGACUUCUUUGAUGAUAGGUUAGAUGAUCUAGACAUGAAUAUUCCAGAUGAUGAUCAAACACCUACACCCGUUGAUGCGACCAAUACGAUGUGCAGUUCUUCU